AAACUGCGAUAAGUAGCGUGAAUUGCAGACGCUUUGAACGUUAAACUUUCGAACGCACAUUGCGCCGUAGGAGUCCUACCCUACGGCACAUCUGGUUGAGGGUCGUGAUCAAAAACAGCCAGCAAGAUGCUGUUAGUACUACUACUGGUGAAUCACGAGUUCCGCCUACCCGUACUCGGGUGGAACGUGUUUUGCCAUCAUGUACUAGAGGACGAGGCUCGAUCCCUUCAUUGGGGUCGGUGCCUUGCCUGCCACACGGAUGGGCUAUCGGCUGAAGCGAUAGGCUCCGGUCGCCAAGUAUCGUACAUACGUGUAACAG
rnacentral:misc_RNA from 1 species